rnacentral:rRNA from 1 species
GAUGAACGCUGGCGGCGUGCUUAACACAUGCAAGUCGAACGGGAAGUAUUUUAUUGAAACUUCGGUCGAUUUAAUUUAAUUCUAGUGGCGGACGGGUGAGUAACGCGUGGGUAACCUGCCUUAUACAGGGGGAUAACAGUAAGAAAUGGCUGCUAAUACCGCAUAAGCGCACAGAGCUGCAUGGCUCAGUGUGAAAAACUCCGGUGGUAGAAGAUGGACCCGCGUUGGAUUAGCUGGUUGGUGGGGUAACGGCCCACCAAGGCGACGAUCCAUAGCCGGCCUGAGAGGGUGAACGGCCACAUUGGGACUGAGACACGGCCCAGACUCCUACGGGAGGCAGCAGUGGGGAAUAUUGCACAAUGGGGGAAACCCUGAUGCAGCGACGCCGCGUGAAGGAAGAAGUAUCUCGGUAUGUAAACUUCUAUCAGCAGGGAAGAUGGUGACGGUACCUGACUAAGAAGCCCCGGCUAACUACGUG